rnacentral:rRNA from 1 species
UACGUAGGGGGGCUAGCGUUGUCCGGAUUUAUUGGGCGUAAAGAGCGUGUAGGCGGUUCGGUAAGUCUGUCGUGAAAUCCUGAGGCUCAACCUCGGGCGUGCGGUGGAUACUGCCGGGCUAGAGGACGGUAGAGGCGAGUGGAAUUCCCGGUGUAGCGGUGAAAUGCGCAGAUAUCGGGAGGAACACCAGUGGCGAAGGCGACUACCUGGCCUGUUCUUGACGCUGAGGCGCGAAAGCUAGGGGAGCAAACGGG